GGCGCCAACAGCUCCAAAGUGUGUACUGAGGUGCGAGAUGGCCGCCACACAUCAUAGCAGGCCCAUUAGCUAGCUGGUCUGUGCUAAUGAACCCCAUGCUUCCACAAGCAGGGAAGGAACUCGGCCAUCCUCAUCCCUUACAGGCUAUCUGGUUGUCACUUGUGUCCUUUAGUCUCUCUCUCAUGUUGACAAUGAAACCAGUCUGCAGCUGGGCAGCAGAGGCUGUUCCUCAGCCUGGAACAGUUGCAUGCAGCUGCCCCCUCAGCAGUGCCAGGCCUGGGACGACUUCAGUGUCACAGCAGUUGAGCUACAGUUCCACUUAUUGCUCAGAUCGCUGGGAAUUAAGAUGUUGCAAUUAUUUGAUGACCUAGCUGAGGAGAAGAGACAGAGGAAUCAACCUUCACUGAGCAUCUGGGACUGAAUGCCAGAGAUGGAAGAUUGAGAGAGAUCUAAUGGAAUUAACAGUGAUAAAGCUUCUAUACCAACCAUAAUGUUGGAGACUACCAAUCCUUACCCGGCAUAAGCAGACUGUACUCAGUUAGCAGAAGCCUUCUUUACAGACUCAGUACUAUUAGAAGAUUUUAUAUUUGAGAAGUGAGAUUGCAAUCACAUAGGUAUGUGAGAGAAUCAUUUGGUUUGGACUUCUCAGUUUUCUUGAAGUUUACAUUAAUUUCUAUUUAAUUCAAGUAAACUUGCCUUUGAACAAAAAUAGACAAGAAAAUACAGCAUAUCUGAAAACUUACAAUGGAUUUACUAUCCCUAUGAAAAUUCCAGGUUCUAGCAUCUCGUUUUCAGCUACUCCCUGCAGCUGUUGCAACUAAGAACUCAUUUCUAAGAGUUAUUUCUUUGAAAUUACAGGAAGAGCUUUCUGCUCUAGAACAGGCAGGGCAGAGCAAAUCUGUUUGUGACCAGGGCAAAUCUGAUCUCAGAUAAUUUCUUUUGAGUACCAUUGGCACAAACUCCAUUAGUCCAGAAUACACAGUAACUUUCGCAAAGUUGCUAACACCUUAUUCAGUUGUUUCAGUCUCUGGAAUAGAUACGGUAUCGGAGAACUAAGAGUUAUUGCUUACCGAAGAGUACCUGAAAGCUAAACAAACCAUUCUGGAACAAGUUGAAUUAAAAAUACUCAAUGUCAGAUAUCCUUUUAUUAUUUUCUUAUUCUGAAUAAAAGCAUCCCAAAAAGAUAGCUUCUUUAAUCACGAGACAGCACCAGAGAACAUUCAGAAUCUGAUACCAUCGGUCAGCUCAGCUCUCCCAGCAGCAUAUUAGACUCCUGAAAUUCUCAGGCAGUUCCAUCAAAUGUGAAACAGCACUGAAAGAAAAAAAAUGAAAGAAUGAAAAACAUUCACCAUGCAGUUGCUAAGACAAACUGGCCUCUAGCUACCGAUAAAGGGAUUUGAAAUGAGCAAGCUUACAAUAAGGAGUGAUGCAAACUUACAUCACACAUGAAGUAGGUUUAAAAUCUAAAUAUGACAUCAGUAUAAAUUUUCUUUCCAAGGUGAAAUGAAAUGAGCACGUUCUUCAAAGGCUGAUAGCACUUUGUCCUCACUAUUCAGUCUGAAUCAGUCUCCUCAAGUUAUAGGCUGUGAUGCUGUUAUAAAAUGAGAAGAUUUAGUCUUCCCCUUUUGCCAGCCUAUACUAAAUGUAUCAUAAUGUAGCUGACAUUGGGGAAAAAAAAAAAUCAAAUGGAAUGGAAUGAAAAACUUGGCCACAUCACAGGUGCUGUGGUAUUAAACAGCUGUUCUGUAACAGUUACUAUGUACCUUCCAUGAAGACCAUCUUCUCAAAAAAAAAAAAAAAAAAAAAGAAAAGAAAAGAAAAAGAAAAAGAAAAAAAACCUAAACCCAAAUAAAAGUAUAAAGAAUCAGUCAUUUUCAUGUUGGGAGGAAAGGCAGAGUGUUUGUUAUGUUUUGAAAACUUCCCAGUAAAGCCUGAACAGAGUCUGCACUAGAAGAGAAAUAGAGAUGAAAAUAAGCAAAACUGUUUUGAAAUGAGUCGAAGAUGGAGAGCAGGUAGUUAACAUUCUGGACAGAAUUAAUUUUAGUUUAAGGAGUAUAAAGAUAGCAGCAGCAAGGUUAGCGACCCUAACAACAUCAUUUUCUCUGGAAACGUUCCAUAUACCAACGCUCGAGCUGACACUCCAGGCAAGCCUGGAAGCUGAAUGAUAAGAGAGAAAGGUGAAAGUAGCACAGGAAACCCAACUCUGAAAAUAAUGAAGGGAGAUGAGGACUGACAGCAAAUGACAGAUCACAAAUACUACUGGAGCUGAGGUCAUGGAAACAGUAGCGGGAAGUGGAAGAGUGCACUGAUGGGCCAUGAUCUCCUGAGUGAGACCAAAUCAGCAAGAAAUCUUUUCUGGUUAGAUGGGAGAGCUAGGCUCAGAAUGCAGACAGAGUGAAGACACAAGAAAACAUUCAACAGUUAUGUCAGAUGGGUCACUAAUAGGCAAGUUUAAAAAAAAGAAGUGGAAACCACAGAGGAUGAGUGAGUUGGAAAUUAAAGGAGGGGAAACAGUUAAGUGGAAAGCACAUAACAGUAACACAAAUGAAGUAAAAAGGAGAGCUGGAUGCGAGUGCAACAGAAAUGGAACAGAAGCUUAAAUUCCCUAUUACCAUCUAAUCUGUGAUGAGUAACAGAAACCAAGAAGAGGCAUCCAUAAAUGAAAAAGCCUCCAGGUGCUCCAAAAUGCAGGCUUCUGGAGACUGUGUAGGUGCCUCCUGAGCUCUGAUGGGCAGCCCAGACUCCUCACAGAGCCCUGUGGUUGCCUCAGAAAGGUAUGACAGUGCCCAGGGGGAACAUCAUACAUAAAGGAGCCCAGGUCUCAGAGAUCACAGAUACCACAACCCUUGGCUUGGAGAAAAGGCAGGGUACUGCAAGAGGAAUAAAGAGUACAGCUUACUGGGAUUACGAGUUUAAGGACUGGGAAGAAAGAUACCUUGCCAUUCACAGCCAACAAUACAGAAAUGAAGGAGUCUAAACAUCUGGCUUUAACUAGCAGAGAGGCAGAAAGCUGUGUUCAAAUAACAACAACAACAACUAUCAACAUUUUGCUGGUCGAAAUGCAUGAAAAAUCACUUAAUUUAUCAAAAUACAUAGCCUGCAUACCUAAAUAAUAUCCUAUUUAAUCUGAACCAUUCCUACGUAAGCUAUUUAAAUUCAAAGACAGCUGGUGGAUGCACAGGAUAGCCUUUUCAUGGAAAAUUAAGGUUUUUCAUUCCUUUCCAGAGAAUAGAAAUGAGUUGUAGGGUUUAUUUCCCUGUAACAUUUUGAUUAUUACCCCCAAACAUUCAAAUUUUUACCCUAGAAAAUCUGUGUGUGACUGUGAGACUAUGAAAUGUGGCUAUGAAACAUUUCAGAUUAGCCAUGCUGACAUAAUUUCUUUUUAUUUCUGUGAAAGUGCACGUUCUAUACUCUACUGAAAUUAUCAUACAUGCUUUGAAACUUCAGACAAAAACAAAGCAAAUACAACAACAAUCUUCUCAUAAAUAAAAAAUGACCAUUUUAAAUCACUUUCAAAUGGAAACUGUUCCUUGCUCUUGCUUGGCAGGUGAUAGGUUUUACAGACAAGCUAUAAAUGCUCCAAAUAGACAUAAAUAAUAGAAAUAAUUAUAGUCUUUGUAAAGCAGUAUGAACAAUUAUUCUGCAAUAUAAAAAUCUAUUUCCACUAUAAUCGACAAUGAAUCAGAUGCCCAUUAAUGAAUAAAUGUUGUGAAUCACAGUCUUUGAAAGAUCUAAGACUAUAAAAUACAACAGCUUCUUAAAAUUUGCCCUGAAGCUUGUCUGCAUUAACAAUGGUAUGACCAGAGAGGGUUAACAAAUAACUUGAGUUUGGGUUCACUGACCUAGCCUGGGUACAUCUGAUGUGCACGAGUUGUUUUGGUAUGGAUUUGAAAUCCAGUACACAUGGGGUCAGCCAACUCCUAAGGACACAUUUUUACAGUAUACUGGGAAACUACCAUGCUCUGACUUUGAAAAUAGCAUCAUACAUUUUAAAAAGAUAUUUUCAGAAAGCAGAAGAGCCUGGUUUAAUACAAUAACACUUUUAAGUGAUUUCUCAUUUUAUCUGAAACAAUUCACUCAUCCAUCAGUAUCCAAUUAGAUCUGGUAUGAGUCAGAUCGUAAUAUUGGCUGCUGAUGACUAAUAAGGCAGGUCAACAUCUAUACAUAGAACUACUCAGUGAUGAUACAGCGAUUGGCAACUUCAAUUAGGGACAGUGACAAUGCUUUUUUUUUUUAAAGUUUGUUUCUUUUGCCUUGAGUGUUUGAAGGAGGGAUAGAAAAUUGUAAUAAGACAAAUAAGAGGAGGAUACAGAGAUCUUUGAACCUUGGUCUCCCUUACCGUGACUUCUAAACGCACUAGUUAUAUCUAUAUAGAUAUCGAUCUAUAUAGGUCGCUCAGAAAUAGGAGGCAUUGCUUUCAAUUUAUUUCCAAAAUUACAAUGAAUACUGCUUGAUAGAGCAAAUUCUCAAAUGUUUUUCAACAUAGUCACAACAAUUAGCUGUGCAUUUUCACCAGUGCUGGACAAGAACCUGCACGACCUGCUCAGAAAAAUCUGCACCAGUGGAGGUGACCCACAGUCACUGCCACCACUGCUGAAACGCACCACCCACUGCCUCAGUGUGCUCACAUCCACUGUUAGGUCUCCGUAAACAUUCAGCAAGCAUCCAUGAAUGUUAAUGGGUGCAAUUUUUUCUGCAUAGAGGAAUUCAAUGACACACCUUUGCACUUCCAUGUUGGAUGCCAAUUUCCCAGCCUGCCCCUCUGCUGCCAUCUGUCACACAGCAACAAAAUGGAAUGGGAUACUGGGGGCAAGGUUCAACCUCUACUGCCAUACCACCAUCUGCCUCUGAUUUCAUGGACCAACAGAGAAGCCCCUGUAAUUUUACCACAAAAUGCUUUGUCAAAGAAAUAUUUACAUCACAAAUUUCCAGUAGACAGGCAAGUGAAAAAGAUCAUUACAAUUAUCUGUUAUACGUAAUGCAUCGCUGAGACUGCACACACUGAGUUAAGAUUUAGCCUUGUCUUCGUGUCUAGCAACUGGCUUUCAUUCAGACCACUGCUUCAUGUUAUAGUCCCAUCCACAACAGCAAUACUGUGCUAUAGAUGGUUGUUCCAUAGAAAAGUAUCUAAAAUUUAGCAGGCUGAGAAAAGGAUGCACACACAGAUUUAAGACAUGGUUCAGUUGUGGUCAACUAGCCAAGCAAAUGUUUCUCUUUUUGUGGAGCCAAUUGAUACAGCAAAGUGUUGAAUGAGUGCUGUCUAGCUCUGGACUUGCUCAGAUAUCUCUACAUUGGACUGCACGCUCUACACUGAGUCUCAUUUUUUCUACUUCUAAUGAUGAAAACUAUACUGACGGUCACAGCCCACACCCCAUAUCUACAUAUCUUACCUCUUCAUAUUCACAGGAUCUCUAUUUAAAUAUAAUCAUUUUAAAUGUACGUUGUAAAGAAAAUAAUGAGUUUCAUCUGUGAACCUUUCAUUCUAAAGUCAACAGAUGAACUUGUUUGCUUUCUGUAUGCAGUAAGAAAGCUGAAGUGACAGUGCCGUAAGAAUACAGAAGAAACAGUGAGAUAUUAUUCUUAAAUAGUAAAUGUAGAAGUUCUAGAAAAGUAGCCUACAGUUCCUCUCCAGUUACUUACUGUAUCUCAAGAUAAUAGGGUCUUUCUCUGCACAGUAUACUUUGUUCUUCAUUAGGGAAAGAGGAAGUAAAGAAAUGAGUUAAUUUUAUUAUCAUGAAAUAAUAUCCUGACUUAAUUUGGUAUCCAGCUAUGUCUGAAGCCAUCCGCUACAGGAAGAGCUAGGACAAAGUCUUCAUGCACGCCCUAGCACCAAACUUUCAACAUCUGGAAGGUACUAUGUGCCAGACAUAUUCAAUGCAGAACUUGCGCAUAGAU